rnacentral:tRNA from 1 species
GGAUGGGUGGCAGAGCGGUUUAAUGCAGCGGUCUUGAAAACCGCCGAAGGUUAAUCCCUUCCGUGAGUUCGAAUCUCACCCCAUCCG